rnacentral:rRNA from 1 species
UACGGAGGGGGCUAGCGUUGUUCGGAAUUACUGGGCGUAGAGCGCACGUAGGCGGACUUGAAAGUCAGAGGUGAAAUCCCAGGGCUCAACCUUGGAACUGCCUUUGAAACUUCUGGUCUUGAGGUCGAGAGAGGUGAGUGGAAUUCCCAGUGUAGAGGUGAAAUUCGUAGAUAUUGGGAAGAACACCCGUGGCGAAGGCGGCUCACGGGCUCGCAACUGACGAUCAUGCACGACAGCGUGGGGAGCAAACAGG